rnacentral:rRNA from 1 species
GCCAGACUCCUACGGGAGGCAGCAGUGGGGAAUAUUGCACAAUGGGGGGAACCCUGAUGCAGCGACGCCGCGUGGGUGAAGAAGUCAUUCGUGACGUAAAGCCCUAUCAGCAGGGAAGAAAAUGACGGUACCUGACUAAGAAGCCCCGGCUAACUACGUGCCAGCAGCCGCGGUAAUACGUAGGGGGCAAGCGUUAUCCGGAUUUACUGGGUGUAAAGGGAGCGUAGACGGCUAUGCAAGUCUGGAGUGAAAGGCGGGGGCCCAACCCCCGGACUGCUCUGGAAACUGUAGAGCUAGAGUGCAGGAGAGGUAAGUGGAAUUCCUAGUGUAGCGGUGAAAUGCGUAGAUAUUAGGAGGAACACCAGUGGCGAAGGCGGCGUCCUGGUCGGCAACUGACACUGAGGCGCGAAAGCGUGGGGAGCAAACAGGAUUAGAUACCCUGGUAAAA